GUUUUCUUAUUGCUGUUGCCAUGUAUUCUCUGGUGAUAUAAAAAUGUGGAACUUUAGAAAAGAACCACUGGCUGUCCAUUUUUAAACUGAGCCACUCCUAAAAAUAUUUUAACAAAUAUUCCUUCCUUCCUUCUGGAUUCAGCUCAAAUGAUAUCUCUUAUAGGAAACAUUUUUAAGUCAGAAUCAAUCAUUCACCUCUAGCUACUCAGCAGAAGUGUAAUAGGAGCUAUAUGUUGAACAUUAUUAACCUGGCUUACUCUUUUGCCCUUCUGAGCUGUAUUCCAUUGAAGAGAGCCUUCUGCUUCGAUGUAGAUCAAGAUUUCUUCCAAAAGGAAUGAAAAGCAAAAGACUGAGAAUUCUGGAGGCUGGGAGUCCAAGAUCAAGGUGUCAGCAGAGUUGAUUUCUGGAUCAGAGCGCCCUAGGUUGUAAUCAAGGGCUGCAGACGUGGGAGUGGAGUGAGUGUGUCACGGAGCCGUCAUCCUGGGCAGUUGUUCUCCAGGGAUUGUUCCUGUCUGCUUGGGGGCGAUAUUUUGGCCCUCGUGAUGGGCUUUUCCUGUGUUCAGGGAAUGGUAUAGUAUUUGCCUCUUCUUCCUCCCUCACCCAGCUGCCUUCCUUGAAGUCAAGAGGGGUACCUGACUUGUCUUUGUGUCUCUUGCAGUGAUGUUCACGGAGUCAUUCACAUAGUAGGUGCUGAAUAAAUAUUAAUGGAAUCCAGUGUAGGCAGCAUUAUGCAGAGCUCACUCCCUGCUUCUUGCUGUCAUUCAAGAGUCCACCAUAACAUUUUUCCUACUGAGUGGGACUUGAACUUACAAUUUUUCUCACCCU
rnacentral:lncRNA from 1 species